GAACGCACAUUGCGCCCUUUGGCAUUCCGAAGGGCAUGCCUGUUCGAGCGUCAUUACACCAAUCAAGCCUGGCUUGGUAUUGGGCGACGGGGGCCUCACCGCCCCCGCGCCUCAAUGACUCCGGCGGGACGGACCGUAUCUCAGCGUUGUGGUAAAAAGCCGCUGGCGAGACGGGACCGGCCGUGCCGUUAAACAACCCCAUCACAAGGUUGACCUCGGAUCAGGUAGGGAUACCCGCUGAACUUAAG
rnacentral:misc_RNA from 1 species